rnacentral:rRNA from 1 species
CCCUUAGAUGUCCGGGGCUGCACGCGCACUACACUGACUGGCUCAGCGUGUGCCUACCCUACGCCGGCAGGCGCGGGUAACCCGUUGAACCCCAUUCGUGAUGGGGAUCGGGGAUUGCAAUUAUUCCCCAUGAACGAGGAAUUCCCAGUAAGUGCGGGUCAUAAGCUUGCGUUGAUUAAGUCCCUGCCCUUUGUACACACCGCCCGUCGCUACUACCGAUUGGAUGGUUUAGUGAGGCCCUCGGAUCGGCCCCGCCGGGGUCGGCCCACGGCCCUGGCGGAGCGCUGAGAAGACGGUCGAACUUGACUAUCUAGAGGAAGUAAAAGUCGUAACA